rnacentral:rRNA from 1 species
GACGAACGCUGGCGGCGUGCUUAACACAUGCAAGUCGAACGGAAAGGCCCUGCUUUUGUGGGGUGCUCGAGUGGCGAACGGGUGAGUAACACGUUAGUAACCUGCCCUUGACUUUGGGAUAACUUCAUGAAACUGGGGCUAAUACCGGAUAGGAGCUCCUGCUGCAUGGUGGGGGUUGGAAAGUUUCGGCGGUUGGGGAUGGACUCGCGGCUUAUCAGCUUGUUGGUGGGGUAGUGGCUUACCAAGGCUUUGACGGGUAGCCGGCCUGAGAGGGUGACCGGCCACAUUGGGACUGAGAUACGGCCCAGACUCCUACGGGAGGCAGCAGUGGGGAAUAUUGCACAAUGGGCGGAAGCCUGAUGCAGCAACGCCGCGUGCGGGAUGACGGCCUUCGGGUUGUAAACCGCUUUCGCCUGUGACGAAGCGUGAGUGACGGUAAUGGGUAAAGAAGCACCGGCUAACUACGUG